rnacentral:rRNA from 1 species
CCGAGAAUAUUCGACAAUGGGCGAAAGCCUGAUCGAGCGAUACCGCGUGGUGGAUGAAGCGCUUCGGCGCGUAAACACCUUUUAUGAGGGAAGAAGUUAUUGACAUUACCUCAUGAAUAAGGGGCUCCUAACUCUGUGCCAGCAGGAGCGGUAAUACAGAGGCCCCGAGCAUUACCCGGAAUUACUGGGCGUAAAGGGUGCGUAGGUGGUCGUGUUAGUCGUUCGUUAAAACCCCCGGCUCAACCGGGGA